GACGAACGCUGGCGGCGUGCUUAGCACAUGCAAGUCGAACGGAAAGGCCCUGCUAUUGUGGGGUGCUCGAGUGGCGAACGGGUGAGUAACACGAGAGUAACCUGCUCUUGACUUUGGGAUAACUUCAGGAAACUGGGGCUAAUACCGGAUAGGAGCUCCUGCUGCAUGGUGGGGGUUGGAAAGUUUCGGCGGUUGGGGAUGGACUCGCGGCUUAUCAGCUUGUUGGUGGGGUAGUGGCUUACCAAGGCUUUGACGGGUAGCCGGCCUGAGAGGGUGACCGGCCGCAUUGGGACUGGGAUACGGCCCAGGCUCCUACGGGAGGCGUCAGGGGGGAAUAUUACACAAUGGGCGGAUGCCUGAUGCAGAAACGCCGGGUGCGGAAUGACGGCCUUCGGGUUGUAAAGCGCGUUAGCCUAUGACGAAGCGUGAGUGACGGUAAUGGGUAAAGAAGCACCGGCUAACUACGUG
rnacentral:rRNA from 1 species